CAGCCGCCGCGGUAAUACCGGCGGCCCGAGUGGCGGUCACUAUUAUUGGGCUUAAAGCGUCCGUAGCCGGGGUGGGAAGUCCUCCGGGAAAUCUGGCCGCUUAACGGUCAGAAUGCCGGAGGAUACUCCCAGCCUAGGGAGCGGGAGAGGCCGAGGGGAUUCCCGGAGUAGGGGUGAAAUCCUAUAAUCCCGGGAGGACCACCUGUGGCGAACGCGCUCGGCUGGAACGCGUCCGACGGUGAGGGACGAAGGCCAGGGGAGCAAACCGGAUUAGAUACCCGGGUAGUCCUGGCUGUAAACGAUGCGGACUUUGUGUCGGACAAGCUAUGAGCUUGUCCGGUGCCGGAGGGAAACCGUUAAGUCCGCCGCCUGGGGAGUACGGCCGCAAGGCUGAAACUUAAAGGAAUUGGCGGG
rnacentral:rRNA from 1 species